GUACACUCCUACGGGAGGCAGCAGUGGGGAAUAUUGGACAAUGGGCGCAAGCCUGAUCCAGCCAUGCCGCGUGAGUGAUGAAGGCCCUAGGGUUGUAACGCUCUUUCACCGGUGAAGAUAAUGACGGUAACCGGAGAAGAAGCCCCGGCUAACUUCGUGCCAGCAGCCGCGGUAAUACGAAGGGGGCUAGCGUUGUUCGGAUUUACUGGGCGUAAAGCGCACGUAGGCGGACUAUUAAGUCAGGGGUGAAAUCCCGGGGCUCAACCCCGGAACUGCCUUUGAUACUGGUAGUCUUGAGUUCGAGAGAGGUGAGUGGAAUUCCGAGUGUAGAGGUGAAAUUCGUAGAUAUUCGGAGGAACACCAGUGGCGAAGGCGGCUCACUGGCUCGAUACUGACGCUGAGGUGCGAAAGCGUGGGGAGCAAACAGGAUUAGAAACCCCUGUAGUCCCA
rnacentral:rRNA from 1 species